rnacentral:rRNA from 1 species
GGCAUAACAGUUUAUCCCGCAUGGCAUAAGAGUGAAAGGCGCUUUCGGGUGUCGCUGAUGGAUGGACCCGCGGUGCAUUAGCUAGUUGGUGAGGUAACGGCUCACCAAGGCCACAAUGCAUAGCCGACCUGAGAGGGUGAUCGGCCACACUGGGAUUGAGACACGGCCCAGACUCCUACGGGAGGCAGCAGUAGGGAAUCUUCGGCAAUGGACGAAAGUCUGACCGAGCAACGCCGCGUGAGUGAAGAAGGUUUUCGGAUCGUAAAACUCUGUUGUUAGAGAAGAACAAGGACGUUAGUAACUGAACGUCCCCUGACGGUAUCUAACCAGAAAGCCACGGCUAACUACGUGCCAGCAGCCGCGGUAAUACGUAGGUGGCAAGCGUUGUCCGGAUUUAUUGGGCGUAAAGCGAGCGCAGGCGGUUUCUUAAGUCUGAUGUGAAAGCCCCCGGCUCAACCGGGGAGGGUCAUUGGAAACUGGGAGACUUGAGUGCAGAAGAGGAGAGUGGAAUUCCAUGUGU